rnacentral:lncRNA from 1 species
AUGGUGGUGCUCCAGCAGGUACUGGGUCAAGCUGGGCUGAAUAAUAGGAUACUGGAUAUUGAGCAGGUCCAAAAAGUUGAGUCGGAACACCUGAAGCUCCCGCUUUCAGCUCAUGAAAAUUUAAGGCAACUCACAGAAGUCAAUGUACUCAACAAAUUACAAAAUCUGAGAAGGAUUAAUUUCAAGAAAGGACUCUGGGGAAGCUUAAUCACUGAAUUCCAAGGCUGCCAGGGCCCUGAAGAAGUUAUCUCGCUCCUACACCUGUAUUCAGGACAUUUCAGGGGAUCGACUGGCGGCAAUCCUGCUUUGAAGAUAAAGGUUCAUUGGGCCAGUGAUGAAGUCCAGAGCUCCAGUAAUGUAGGGAUGCUCCAGUCCCGGUGGUCGCCAGGGCAGAUGACACCUAAGGGCCCUCCCUGGAGAUAGAGGCUAGCGCCCUGGCUUGUUCCUGCAGCAGCACCCACCUUCCUUCGAACCAAGCAUCACGGCGAAGUGGAGCCAUUUUAAUUAAAAAUGUUGUUUUUUUUUUUUUUGCCAGAAUGGAUCCAAUGUACAUUUAAGUAGGUCAUCUUUUUCUCUCACCUGCCAUCUGAAAGGAUUCUGUUCUAUUUGGUUGCAGAGGUUGGAAUAAAAAGCGUGCUGAGCAAGGAGGGCA